UACGUAGGGUGCGAGCGUUAAUCGGAAUUACUGGGCGUAAAGCGUGCGCAGGCGGUUCGUUGUGUCGGCGGUGAAAGCCCCGGGCUUAACCUGGGAAUGGCCGUUGAAACUGGCGAACUGGAGUGUGGCAGAGGGGGGUAGAAUUCCACGUGUAGCAGUGAAAUGCGUAGAGAUGUGGAGGAACACCGAUGGCGAAGGCAGCCCCCUGGGUCAAGAUUGACGCUCAUGCACGGAAGCGUGGGGAGCAAACAGG
rnacentral:rRNA from 1 species